rnacentral:rRNA from 1 species
AUAUGGUCAAGCGACUAAGGGUCCAUGGUGGAUGCCUUGGAGCUAUCCGGCGAUGAAGGGCGUGGUAAGCUGCGAUAAGCCUCGGUGAGAAGCAAACAUUCUUAUAUCCGAGGAUUCCCGAAUGGGGUAACCCGGCUGUUUUUAUGACAGUCAUUAUGCGGUGAAUACAUAGCCGUAUAAAGCGAGACUCAGGGAACUGAACCAUCUAAGUACCUGAAGGAAAAGAAAUCAAUUUAGAGAUUCCCUUAGUAGCGGCGAGCGAACGGGGAUUAGCCCAAACCAAUGUCAUUUCGGUGAUAUUGGGGUUGUAGGGCAUGCAUAUAUGUAUCAGUGAAAGAUAGCAGAAUGGUAUUGGGAAAGCCAACCGUAGAGGGUGAAAGUCCUGUAAGCGAAAUCUGAAGCUGGCUAGCAUGUACCUGAGUAAGGCGGGGCACGAGUAAUCCUGUCUGAAUCUGGGGGGACCACCCUCCAAGGCUAAAUACGAGAUAGCUACCGAUAGCGAAUAGUACCGUGAGGGAAAGGUGAAAAGCACCCCGGGAGGGGAGUGAAAUAGAACCUGAAACCGUGGACCUACAAGCGGUCAAAGCCCUUUUAUGGGGUGAUGGCGUGCCUUUUGUAGAAUGAGCCUGCGAGUUAAUAUAUUAAGCGAGGUUAAGGUAUAGAAGUACCGGAGCCGGAGGGAAACCGAGUCUGAAUAGGGCGAUUUAGUUUGAUGUAUUAGACCCGAAGCCGGGUGAUCUAUUUAUGGUCAGGUUGAAGCUUGGGUAACACUGAGUGGAGGACCGAACACUAGUCUGUUGAAAAAGGCAGUGAUGAACUGUGAAUAGGAGUGAAAGGCUAAUCAAACCCGGAGAUAGCUGGUUCUCCUCGAAAUGGCUUUAGGGUCAGCGUCAUAUGGUUAAUAUCGGAGGUAGAGCACUGAUUAGGCUAGGGCCUGUCACAGGGUACCAAACUUAGUCAAACUCCGAAUGCCGAUAUUCAAAGUAUGGCAGUGAGACUACGGGUGAUAAGAUUCGUAGUCGAAAGGGAAAGAGCCCAGACCGUCAGCUAAGGUCCCUAAACUAUGCUAAGUGGAAAAGGAAGUACGAUUGCACAGACAGCCAGGAGGUUGGCUUAGAAGCAGCCACUCCUUUAAAGAGUGCGUAAUAGCUCACUGGUCGAGUAGUUGUGCGCCGACAAUGUAACGGGGCUAAGCAUAGUACCGAAGCUACGGAAUAAUGGAGUUUACUCCAUUGUUGGUAGAGGAGCAUUCUGUAGGUCGAUGAAGGUGUACUGUAAGGUAUGCUGGAGAUAUCAGAAGAGAGAAUGCAGGCAUGAGUAACGAAAAGGAAGGUGAGAUCCCUUCCCGCCGAAAAUCUAAGGUUUCCUGGGUAAAGGUACUCUUCCCAGGGUUAGUCGGCCCCUAAGGCGAGGCAGAAAUGCGUAGUCGAUGGGAAACGGGUUAAUAUUCCCGUACAUCUAAUAAUUUCGAAGGGAUGACACUUAAGGAGAUCCCAUGCCAGGCGUUGGUUGUCCUGGUCCAAGCGUUUAGGCGUUGAUUUGUGUAGGAAAAUCCGCACGAAGAGCUGAGGCGUUAAGGGUAGUGAUCCUACGGGUGAUCGAAGAUGGGUGAUUCAUCGAGUCAAGAAAUAAUCUCUAAGGUUAGGUUAUUAGGUACCGUACCGCAAACCGACACAGGUAGAUGGGAUGAGAAUUCUAAGGCGUACGAGAGAACCCACGUUAAGGAACUCGGCAAAAUACAUGCGUAACCUAGGGAGAAGCAUGGCUCAGCGCGUGAUGGCGGAGUUGCAGAGUCCAGGAGAAAGCGACUGUUUACCAAAAACACAGGUCAAUGCGAAAAUGCAAAUUGAAGUAUAUUGACUGACACCUGCCCGGUGCUGGAAGGUUAAGAGGAGCUGUUAAGAUUUAUCUGAAGCAGUGAAUUGAAGCCCCAGUAAACGGCGGCCGUAACUAUAACGGUCCUAAGGUAGCGAAAUUCCUUGUCGGGUAAGUUCCGACCCGCACGAAUGGUGUAACGACUUUCUUACUGUCUCAACGUGGGACUCGGUGAAAUUGAAGUAUCGGUGAAGAUGCCGAUUACCUGUGGUUAGACGGAAAGACCCCGUGAACCUUUACUGUAUCCUGAUAUUGAACUAUGGCUGAUGAUGUGUAGGAUAGGUGGGAAACUUUGAUGUAUGGUCGUCAGGCUGUGCGGAGUUGUUGGUGAAAUACCACCCUUUAUCAGUUAUAUUUCUAACGUGGCCCGUAAUCCGGGUCAUGGACAAUGUCAGGUGGGCAGUUUGACUGGGGCGGUCGCCUCCUAAAGAGUAACGGAGGCGCGCAAAGGUUACCUUAGCAUGGUUGGAAAUCAUGCUGUAAGCGCAAUGGCAUAAGGUAGCUUGACUGCGAGACUUACAAGUCGAGCAGGUACGAAAGUAGGUCAUAGUGAUCUGGCGAUUCUGAGUGGAAGGGUCGUCACUUAACGGACAAAAGGUACUCCGGGGAUAACAGGCUGAUUUUGCCCAAGAGUUCAUAUCGACGGCAAAGUUUGGCACCUCGAUGUCGGCUCAUCGCAUCCUGGGGCUGGAGCAGGUCCCAAGGGUAUGGCUGUUCGCCAUUUAAAGCGGUACGCGAGCUGGGUUCAGAACGUCGCGAGACAGUUCGGUCCCUAUCUGCCACAGGCGUUGGAUGUUUGAGAGGAUCUGUUUUUAGUACGAGAGGACCGAAACGGACAAACCUCUGGUGUAUCAGUUAUCGUGCCAACGGUAAGUGCUGAGUAGCUAAGUUUGGAAGGGAUAACCGCUGAAAGCAUCUAAGUGGGAAGCCUACCUCAAGAUGAGACAUCCCUCUCCCUUUAAGGGAGCUGAAGGAAUCUCGAAGAAUACGAGUUUGAUAGGCUGGCGGUCUAAGUGUGGAAACAUAUUGAGCCGACCAGUACUAAUCUUCCGUGAGGCUUGACCAUAU